rnacentral:rRNA from 1 species
GAUGAACGCUAGCGGCAGGCCUAAUACAUGCAAGUCGAACGGUGUCUUCGGACAUAGUGGCGCACGGGUGCGUAACACGUAUGCAACCUACCUUACAUUGGGGGAUAGCCUUUCGAAAGGGAGAUUAAUACCGCAUAAGACAGUAGCUGGGCAUCCAGCAGCUGUUAAAGAUUUAUCGAUGUAAGCUGGGCAUGCGUCCAAUUAGCUAGUUGGUGGGGUAACGGCUCACCAAGGCAAUGAUUGGUAGGGGAACUGAGAGGUCAAUCCCCCACACUGGCACUGAGAUACGGGCCAGACUCCUACAGGAGGCAGCAGUAGGGAAUAUUGGGCAAUGGACGCAAGUCUGACCCAGCCAUGCCGCGUGCAGGAUGAAGGCGUUAUGCGUUGUAAACUGCUUUUAUACAGGAAGAAACGACUCUUGCGAGAGGCAUUGACGGUACUGUAUGAAUAAGCACCGGCUAACUCCGUGCCAGCCGCCGCGGUAAAAC